AGUCAGUGUAGUGGAGUUGAGUGCAUGCUGAGGAACAGUUGAGUUAAGACCUGAGAAGUUGUCUGGUGUUCCUGAGGGAGGCCUAAGGCCUAGUCACGCAGCCAUGCAUCUACUACCAGUUAACUCCUACAGUUGAAGGUCAAAGCCUGGUGAGCCGCCAUUCAUAUAACAGAACCUGAAGAGCAUCACAACAGUCGAAUCUAAAAGUUUCCUUAGGAGACGAGGGUCUCCCUCCUUGGCCCACCCAAAAGGAUCCUUUGAUGUUUGUGUAAAGUACACUCCAAAUAAGCAUCGUUAUCCAGACAUCAG